rnacentral:rRNA from 1 species
ACGCUUCUUUUCUACCGAGUGCUCGCACUCAUUUGAAAAGAGGAGUGGCGGACGGGUGAGUAACACGUGGGUAACCUGCCCAUCAGAGGGGGAUAACACUUGGAAACAGGUGCUAAUACCGCAUAAUAGUCGACACCGCAUGGUGUUGAUUUGAAAGACGCUUUCGGGUGUCACUGAUGGAUGGACCCGCGGUGCAUUAGCUAGUUGGUGAGGUAACGGCUCACCAAGGCGAUGAUGCAUAGCCGACCUGAGAGGGUGAUCGGCCACACUGGGACUGAGACACGGCCCAGACUCCUACGGGAGGCAGCAGUAGGGAAUCUUCGGCAAUGGACGAAAGUCUGACCGAGCAACGCCGCGUGAGUGAAGAAGGUUUUCGGAUCGUAAAACUCUGUUGUUAGAGAAGAACAAGUAGGAGAGUAACUGCUCUUACCUUGACGGUAUCUAACCAGAAAGCCACGGCUAACUACGUGCCAGCAGCCGCGGUAAUACGUAGGUGGCAAGCGUUGUCCGGAUUUAUUGGGCGUAAAGCGAGCGCAGGCGGUUUCUUAAGUCUGAUGUGAAAGCCCCCGGCUCAACCGGGGAGGGUCAUUGGAAACUGGGAGACUUGAGUGCAGAAGAGGAGAGUGGAAUUCCAUGUGUAGCGGUGAAAUGCGUAGAUAUAUGGAGGAACACCAGUGGCGAAGGCGACUCUCUGGUCUGUAACUGACGCUGACGCUCGAAAGCGUGGAGAGCAAACAGGAUUAGAUACCCUGGUAGUCCACGCCGUAAACGAUGAGUGCUAAGUGUUGGGAGGGUUUCCGCUCUUCAGUGCUGCAGCAACGCAUUAAGCACUCCGCCUGGGGGAGUACGACCGC